rnacentral:rRNA from 1 species
AUGGCCAGUAGGAAACACAGGGAUCCUAGCUUCUUUUUCGAGUACAAGCUAGAUAAGGAAGGACAUUUGAAUAGGAUGUUCUGGUGCGACUCCCAGUCUCGUCAUGACUAUGAGGACUUCGGCGACGUGCUUGUAUUUGACAACACGUACAAGAUGAACCGCUAUGGUAUGCCAUUCAUACCUUUUGUUGGUCUUAACAAUCACCGGAAGACCACUGUUUUUGGUUGUGCCAUAGUUUCGGACGAGACCGAGGAGACAUACGUGUGGCUUCUGCAGACUCUUUUGAGGUCGAUGUGUCAAAAGAUGCCUAAGAGUGUUAUCACAGACGCCGACGCUGCGGUGAUCAAGGCAAUUCGCGAAGUCUUGCCAGACGUGUGGCACCGUAUAUGUACGUGGCACAUAGAGAAAAAUAUGAAGAUUCACCUCAGUCACAAGUCCUUGAAGGAGUUCCGAACUCUUCUGUACUGCAGCACGUCCACGGCCACGUUUGAGGAGAGAUGGCACGCAUUUUCCAAAAGAUGGCAGUCGGAAAAAACUAUAACAUGGUUGAGACGGAUGUAUAAGAAGAGGAGACUGUGGGCCGCGGCUUAUCUAACAGAGGGGUUUUGGCUUGGCAUGAAAAGCAACCCGCGGAGUGAAAGCCUGAACUCAUGCCUUCACCUCCACCUAGACAGUGAAAUGACCCUGGUGGAUAUGAUUUUGCACUAUGAGAACGUCGUUGUGCGUAUUCGUGAAAAUAAGGCGCGAGAUGACUGCACGGCCUCACAGAGUUUACCGGUGCCAGUUACUAGCUCGAGGCAACUUGAGAUAGCUGCUUCUCACUUCUUCACUCCAGCAAACUUCUAUAUGUUGCAAGAUGAUCUUAGAAAAAUUGAUGGCAUGGAGAUUGUAGAAAUUAAGUUGGGAGACAGAUCACAGCAGUACAUCGUGGCCUGA